rnacentral:lncRNA from 10 species
UCCUCCUGGUAGCUGCCUGCACUCACAGCAUGUUGGGAAUGGUGAUUAUAAAUGUAACCAUGCUCUCUUCUUGUAAGUGGAGAGCCCAGGUACCUCUUAUCCAGCAUGUGACCCUCUUUCUACCUCAGGAUAGUCAUACUCUUAGGCUUCCUAGAUUUAUUCAGGGCCAAAGGAGUGGUCAAGGUCCUUUUUGUUUUGCCUUACUCCCUUUGGAAAACAUUUAGUUUAUGCCCAUUGUUACAGAUUGCAAAAUACAGACACAUAUUCUCACUAAUGUGGUCUGCAUGUCCCUUUGCAAGGACAUGCAAUGUGACUUCACUACUCCUUUCAUCAAGAAAAGGAGCCUCUUGGCCGGGCAUGGUGGCUCACGCCUGUAAUCCCAGCACUUUGAGAGGCCAAGGCAGGCGGAUCACGAGGUCAGGAGAUGGAGACCAUCCUGGCUAACACAGUGAAACACAGUCUCUACUAAAAAAUCCAAAAAAAAAAAAAAAAAAAAAAAAAAAAUUAGCCGGGCGUGGUGGCAGGUUCCUGUAGUCUCAGCUACUUGGGAGCCUGAGGCAGGAGAAUGGCGUGAACCCAGGAGGCAGAGCUUGCAGUGAGCCUAGAUCGCGCCACUGCACUCCAGCCUGGGCAACAGAGCGAGAUUCUGACUC